GAGGGCGGGACUAGCGGGGGCAGGCGCUCCCAUUUGCUGCUCCGACGCCCCCGACCGACGAAUCGGCUUCUUCCGUCCGUGCAGCCGCGGAGCGAUAGGCGAGCCCGGUUUAUAUGCAAAUGACAUGGAAAUGUCACAAACACGUGGACACGCGGAUCGGUUUCAUUUCAGCAGCUGGGCAAAAAAAAAAAAAAAAGAAGUCAACCCAGGGCUAGUUUUGGUCAUUCUACAGGCAUUCUUCCUCAUUAUAUCAUCCGGACCAUGAUGCCUGACUUGUGGCAUGUCAGUGAACCUGCGCAGCAUGGUAAAGGCGCAGUCAGCACAUUUCCAGGAACAACUGUGGUAGUUCAUGUUAAGAGUUUGCUCAAGGACACUUCAGCAGUCUAUAUUUGAACAGGGGAUGGUCUGGCGAUACAUUUACCAGUGGUGGAAAAGCCGUGACUCACAGGACCUCGGUUUGACUGCCUGAGAGGGUGGGAUUAGGGAGCACUCUGUCAGAGGCCAGACGAGGAUCCUGAGCUUGGAGCCAGUGAGUCACGAACCCUCUCACAGCAAACGUGAUCACGUGCGACUGGGAGACACCCACUCAAAAAGCAUAACCAGCCUCCUCUCCUACUCUCCCUCGAUUGACUAGUGAGAACAAACAGAAUGUGAAAACAUCACAUUUCUUUUCCUUCUAUCUGCAGCGUGAAAAGGUCACAUGUGGAAGAAAAAAAAAAAAAGGGCUACUGUGAGAUGUUUACAGAGCCAAAGACGCUGCCCGGACUGUUUUUAACAACUGGGUGCAAAUCUGUCUGACAUGAAAUGCAGAAGGACUUCUUGCUCUGUCUUCUGUGCUUUCUAUAACGAGACUGUACCAUGGUGAUUCAAUCCUAAGAGCAUUUUGUGGUCAGGUGAUCAUAGAGGAGCGCAUGUGGCUACUUUUUGUUUUAUGUGCUGCUGUCAAAGUGAGGAGGAGGCAGGACAAGGGCACCAGCAGCCCCGGUGUCCUAACGGUUUACUCUUUGCUGCUGUGCCUUUAAUCACACCCCGCUGUGAAGAAUGCACACCGCAGACACCAGAGCACCCAUAAAGCCGGUCGAGGUGACACGCCUGCUGGCACGGCCCAGAUCCUCCGGUGACCCCAGACUGUGUGACGACCGAGAGCUUCCUACAGAUUCCCAGCAAACUCUCAUUUCCCUUUUUUGUCUUCAAGGCUUCCAAGUCACUGUGGAGUACAUCACAUCUACUUCAAAGCACAGGAAACAGACAUCUACAUUUUGCUUUGGUUGAAAACACAUACAGGCAGAACACUUUGAACUGUACAGACACAGUAUGAAAUGUGGAGAAAGCAGCGUCUGUAUUUAUAUAAGUAACAGAUUAGCACAGCUACUCAAAUGUCUUUUGUGAUAGUGUUUUUCAUUGGUAACCCGCACGUUGUUCUGAAUGUUUAGUAGACCUUCUGUGUGAUCUCCAGGAACGUUUAUGUAUUAACAAUAAUCCAUCUCCAUUCAGUUGUGCCGCAAUUUGUCCUCCACAUAAAAAAAACAACAGCGGCAAUUUGCAAUCUCCUCACAAAGGGGAACUCUUUUUAUCUGCGCAUUCUCCUGUCAGGAUCCGAGAUGAGUCACACAACACAAACUGGCACUGUGAUUUUCAAUUUGUCAGAGAGGCUGGCUGAUUCUGUAUCCCACAGAGACUGGAUGUGUCUCUCAUUCAUAAAAAAAUAAAAGACAAAUCAGA